rnacentral:rRNA from 1 species
GAUGAACGUUAGCGGCAGGCUUAAUACAUGCAAGUCGAGGGGUAGCAAGAUUGUAGCAAUACAAUUGUUGACGACCGGCAAACGGGUGCGGAACACGUACACAACCUUCCUACAAGUGGGGAAUAGCCCAGAGAAAUUUGGAUUAAUACCCCGUAACAUAGCGAUGUGGCAUCACAUUGCUAUUAUAGCUUCGGCGCUUGUUGAUGGGUGUGCGGCUGAUUAGAUAGUUGGCGGGGUAACGGCCCACCAAGUCUACGAUCAGUAGCUGAUGUGAGAGCAUGAUCAGCCACACGGGCACUGAGACACGGGCCCGAAUCCUACGGGAGGCAGCAGUAAGGAAUAUUGGACAAUGGACGCAAGUCUGAUCCAGCCAUGCCGCGUGAAGGAUUAAGGUCCUCUGGAUUGUAAACUUCUUUUAUAAGGGACGAAAAAAGGUCUUUCUAGAUCGUCUGACGGUACCUUAUGAAUAAGCACCGGCUAACUCCGUGCCAGCCGCCGCCGUAAAAC